GCUGGGGUAGCUAAGAGUCAGUUUUGUGCACCCCCACAGACAUAACGGUGGCUACACUCUUCAUGGCUUGAGAUAAAGACUGUCAAUGUAGACCAGGCUGCUCUCAAAUUUGGAAUCCUCCUGUCUUAGUCUUUUGAGUAUUGGGAUUAUUGCAUAGAAUGGCUGCAUAUGGUAACAACACCCAUUAAGCAAAGGCCCCUACUGUGAACACACGACUAAAAGAAUUAAAGAAAAAAAAUUAGCCAGAUACCUGUGAACGCAUUUAGCUCAAUUUUCUUCUAAGGCAGGUUAACUAUUAAGUCUCAUUUUUGAGACACUUCCUUUAGAACUCAGCAACAUGUUUCCUAAGUAGAAAUCUAUUACGGAUAGAUACAGGCUUUAGUUCUACCAGGAAGCUCAAUGUUCAAGCUUUGCUAUGGUGGCAUCCCUAAAACAUGCAGAGAGAUAGAGAAAAGAGGGAGGGAGGAAGGAGAGAAGGAGAGGGAGGGGAAGGGGGAGGGGGAUGGGGAGGGGAAUGGGAAGGGGGAGGGACUCACUACCACUACUUCAAGGGUGACAAGAGGCAUCUCAAUUGUCUGAAUCUUUGAGAAUCCAAGGUCAGGUAAUAAAGAAGUAUUCAAAGGAAGCAGCUGAU
rnacentral:lncRNA from 1 species